rnacentral:lncRNA from 1 species
UUAGGAUAGAAGAGGCCCUGGUUAGCAGCUUCAGAUGAUGGAUACAUAAAAAUGGGAGAGAGAAAACAUAUAAGAGUGACUAAUUGUUGAGUUUCCAGGGCUCAAACCAAUCUUGAAUUGGAAUUUCAAGACAUAAAAACCACUGCAGGAACCUGCUGGAGAAACGGCCUCUGGUAUCUCUAUCUGAAAUAUGAUUAUCUUAAGUUCGCAAAGCAUUGUGUCUGCAGUGUGAGUUUGAAAACAACAAUGUUAAGGCAACUUCGCAGCUUCUUAAUCAAGCCCUUCUCCAUCUCUCCGUGUGGUUUUUGGGGUGGUGGAGGUGGAGCCAAAAAAGAGAGGGCAGUUUCCCAGGGCUGAAGAUGCUACCAUGACUCAUAGGAUCUAUGCAAACCCUGUGAGUGAAUUCUGAGGAAGAAGAAUGAGUAAUAUUUUGAUUUUAUUACUGAUGGUAAUAAGAUAGUAUCAUCAGUGUGGUAUAUUCUGAUUACUGAAUUCUAUUCCCUAUUUUCUUCCUGUGGCCAAAUAAAAUUUGUGUGUGUAAGCUAUGAUAUUUAGUGUUGUUAUCUGAUGAGACAGGUUUAGUGGAA